rnacentral:rRNA from 1 species
UCGAGCGGUAGCACAGAGAGCUUGCUCUCGGGUGACGAGCGGCGGACGGGUGAGUAAUGUCUGGGAAACUGCCUGAUGGAGGGGGAUAACUACUGGAAACGGUAGCUAAUACCGCAUAAUGUCGCAAGACCAAAGAGGGGGACCUUCGGGCCUCUUGCCAUCAGAUGUGCCCAGAUGGGAUUAGCUAGUAGGUGGGGUAACGGCUCACCUAGGCGACGAUCCCUAGCUGGUCUGAGAGGAUGACCAGCCACACUGGAACUGAGACACGGUCCAGACUCCUACGGGAGGCAGCAGUGGGGAAUAUUGCACAAUGGGCGCAAGCCUGAUGCAGCCAUGCCGCGUGUAUGAAGAAGGCCUUCGGGUUGUAAAGUACUUUCAGCGGGGAGGAAGGUGUUGAGGUUAAUAACCUCGUCAAUUGACGUUACCCGCAGAAGAAGCACCGGCUAACUCCGUGCCAGCAGCCGCGGUAAUACGGAGGGUGCAAGCGUUAAUCGGAAUUACUGGGCGUAAAGCGCACGCAGGCGGUCUGUCAAGUCGGAUGUGAAAUCCCCGGGCUCAACCUGGGAACUGCAUUCGAAACUGGCAGGCUAGAGUCUUGUAGAGGGGGGUAGAAUUCCAGGUGUAGCGGUGAAAUGCGUAGAGAUCUGGAGGAAUACCGGUGGCGAAGGCGGCCCCCUGGACAAAGACUGACGCUCAGGUGCGAAAGCGUGGGGAGCAAACAGGAUUAGAUACCCUGGUAGUCCACGCCGUAAACGAUGUCGACUUGGAGGUUGUGCCCUUGAGGCGUGGCUUCCGGAGCUAACGCGUUAAGUCGACCGCCUGGGGAGUACGGCCGCAAGGUUAAAACUCAAAUGAAUUGACGGGGGCCCGCACAAGCGGUGGAGCAUGUGGUUUAAUUCGAUGCAACGCGAAGAACCUUACCUACUCUUGACAUCCAGAGAACUUAGCAGAGAUGGAUUGGUGCCUUCGGGAACUCUGAGACAGGUGCUGCAUGGCUGUCGUCAGCUCGUGUUGUGAAAUGUUGGGUUAAGUCCCGCAACGAGCGCAACCCUUAUCCUUUGUUGCCAGCGGUCCGGCCGGGAACUCAAAGGAGACUGCCAGUGAUAAACUGGAGGAAGGUGGGGAUGACGUCAAGUCAUCAUGGCCCUUACGAGUAGGGCUACACACGUGCUACAAUGGCGCAUACAAAGAGAAGCGACCUCGCGAGAGCAAGCGGACCUCAUAAAGUGCGUCGUAGUCCGGAUUGGAGUCUGCAACUCGACUCCAUGAAGUCGGAAUCGCUAGUAAUCGUAGAUCAGAAUGCUACGGUGAAUACGUUCCCGGGCCUUGUACACACCGCCCGUCACACCAUGGGAGUGGGUUGCAAAAGAAGUAGGUAGCUUAACC